rnacentral:rRNA from 1 species
UACGUAGGGUGCGAGCGUUAAUCGGAAUUACUGGGCGUAAAGCGUGCGCAGGCGGUUUUGUAAGCCAGAUGUGAAAUCCCCGGGCUUAACCUGGGAAUGGCAGUGGAAACUAGGGGACUGGAAUCUGGCAGAGGGGGGUGGAAUGCCGCGUGUAGCAGUGAAAUGCGUAGAGAUGCGGCGGAACACCGAUGGCGAAGGCAGCCCCCUGGGCUGAGAUUGACGCUCAGGCACGAAAGCGUGGGGAGCAAACAGG